ACAGAACAUAAUAUCCAGCAUAAACAGAACACAGGAAUGGGGAUACCAGCGUCAUAACCUCACCCUAGGACAUGUCCCCAGCUGGCCCCUUGGUGUGGCUGGGACUGUCCCACCUUCCUGCCCUGCUACCCCUGACUGGAUUUAUCCCAACAGCUCAUGGUAUCCUGACAUUCCUCUGCUUGCUGCCUGCCCUGCCCUGCCUGGAAGGUUUGUACAUCACCCUGUGGGGAAAUAGCAAAGGUGAUGAGCUGAGGCUGCAGCUCUGCCCAGAAAGGAGUCCCUGGCAGGACUUGAGUGGGAUGAUCUCCCUGGUGGUGCCAGCCAACCCUCCCUCCAGGAGAUCUCUGCUGUCCAUGGCCACUGAGUGUCCCUGCAGGGCUGAUCCAAUCCCAGCAUCCCAUGGGGAGAUGCUCCGCCCAGGGGAGGAGCCAAGCAUUCCUCCCUGGAUCCAAUCUGAGCCUGGCCCAGCACAGCAGCCUUUGCCCCCUGCAUUGCCAGAGGAGCAGCUUUCUGCUGCCCUGCAUGGCCAGAGGGAGCCCAGGCCCAUCUGCAGCAGCCCUGGAGCUGCAGAGGAAAACUCCCCCCUUGUGCAGGAUCCCUGCUGCAGCAGAGCCACAGCUGGCACUGCAGGAGGGCUGAGCCCCCAUGGGAUGGGGCUGGGACACCCCCUGACACACAGGGGCCAGGGCCUGUGAUCACUCUGGCAGCGUUGGUUUUGUACUAUUGUAUUUGUAUUUUUAAUUUUCCUAUUAAAGAUCUGUUAUUUCUACUCCC